GAUGAACGCUGACAGAAUGCUUAACACAUGCAAGUCAACUUGAACUUCGGUUUGGGUGGCGGACGGGUGAGUAACGCGUAAAGAACUUGCCUCACAGUUAGGGACAACAUUUGGAAACGAAUGCUAAUACCUGAUAUUAUGAUUUUAGGGCAUCCUAGAAUUAUGAAAGCUAUAUGCGCUGUGAGAGAGCUUUGCGUCCAUUAGCUAGUUGGAGAGGUAACGGCUCACCAAGGCGAUGAUGGGUAGCCGGCCUGGGAGGGUGAACGGCCACAAGGGGACUGAGACACGGCCCUUACUCCUACGGGAGGCAGCAGUGGGGAAUAUUGGACAAUGGACCAAGAGUCUGAUCCAGCAAUUCUGUGUGCACGAUGAAGUUUUUCGGAAUGUAAAGUGCUUUCAGUUGGGAAGAAAAAAAUGACGGUACCAACAGAAGAAGUGACGGCUAAAUACGUG
rnacentral:rRNA from 1 species